rnacentral:rRNA from 1 species
UAACAUUUUAAUUCAGCUUGCUGAAUCUCGCGCCGACGAGCGGCGGACGGGUGAGUAACGCGUAGGAAUCUACCUAGUAGAAGGGGAUAGCCCGGGGAAACUCGGAUUAAUACCGUAUACGUCCUUAGGGAGAAAGAGGGCUUAGCUUUGAUGCUCUCGCUAUUAGAUGAGCCUGCGUAAGAUUAGCUUGUUGGUGAGGUAAAGGCUCACCAAGGCUACGAUCUUUAGCUGGUCUGAGAGGACGAUCAGCCACAUUGGGACUGAGACACGGCCCAGACUCCUACGGGAGGCAGCAGUGGGGAAUAUUGGACAAUGGGCGAGAGCCUGAUCCAGCCAUGCCGCGUGCAGGAAGACUGCCCUAUGGGUUGUAAACUGCUUUUAUACAGGAAGAAUAAGCCUUACGUGUAAGGUGAUGACGGUACUGUAAGAAUAAGGACCGGCUAACUCCGUGCCAGCAGCCGCGGUAAUACGGAGGGUCCGAGCGUUAUCCGGAAUUAUUGGGUUUAAAGGGUCCGUAGGCGGAUGAUUAAGUCAGGGGUGAAAGUUUGCAGCUCAACUGUAAAAUUGCCUUUGAUACUGGUUAUCUUGAGUUAUAUUGAAGUAGGCGGAAUAUGUAGUGUAGCGGUGAAAUGCAUAGAUAUUACAUAGAACACCAAUUGCGAAGGCAGCUUACUAAGUACUAACUGACGCUGAUGGACGAAAGCGUGGGUAGCGAACAGGAUUAGAUACCCUGGUAG